UUAUGACGCCAGUAGGUUGGCUGCCAAGUACACCGGGACCAUCCCAGGAGGUAGCGCUCUGGUCACUAACCCACAACGAAGUCCACAUCCCUGUAUAGGGGUUAAAG